AAAUUGAAGAGUUUGAUCAUGGCUCAGAUUGAACGCUGGCGGCAGGCCUAACACAUGCAAGUCGAACGGUAACAGGAAGCAGCUUGCUGCUUUGCUGACGAGUGGCGGACGGGUGAGUAAUGUCUGGGAAACUGCCUGAUGGAGGGGGAUAACUACUGGAAACGGUGGCUAAUACCGCAUAACGUCGCAAGACCAAAGAGGGGGACCUUCGGGCCUCUUGCCAUCAGAUGUGCCCAGAUGGGAUUAGCUUGUUGGUGAGGUAACGGCUCACCAAGGCGACGAUCCCUAGCUGGUCUGAGAGGAUGACCAGCCACACUGGAACUGAGACACGGUCCAGACUCCUACGGGAGGCAGCAGUGGGGAAUAUUGCACAAUGGGCGCAAGCCUGAUGCAGCCAUGCCGCGUGUAUGAAGAAGGCCUUCGGGUUGUAAAGUACUUUCAGCGGGGAGGA
rnacentral:rRNA from 3 species